rnacentral:rRNA from 1 species
AUUGAACGCUGGCGGCAGGCUUAACACAUGCAAGUCGAGCGAGCGGCGGACGGGUGAGUUAUGUCUGGGCAACUGCCUGAGGGAGGGGGAUCACUACUGGAAACGGUAGCUAAUACCGCAUACCAUCAGAUGUGCCCGGAUGGGAUUAGCUAGUAGGGGGGGUAAAGGCUCACCUAGGCGACGAUCCCUAGCUGGUCUGAGAGGAUGACCAGCCACACUGGAACUGAGACACGGUCCAGACUCCUACGGGAGGCAGCAGUGGGGAAUAUUGGACAAUGGGCGCAAGCCUGAUGCAGCCAUGCCGCGUGUGUGAAGAAGGCCUUCGGGUUGUAAAGCACUUUAAGCGAGGAGGCGUUACUCGCAGAAGAAGCACCGGCUAACUCCGUGCCAGCAGCCGCGGUAAUAC